UACGGAGGGUGCAAGCGUUAUCCGGAUUUACUGGGUUUAAAGGGUGCGUAGGCGGGUUGUUAAGUCAGUGGUGAAAGAUUCGAGCUUAACUCGGAAACUGCCAUUGAUACUGAUGACCUUGAAUACAGUUGAGGUAGGCGGAAUAUUACAUGUAGCGGUGAAAUGCUUAGAUAUGUAAUAGAACACCGAUUGCGAAGGCAGCUCACUACACAAUCAUUGACGCUGAGGCACGAAAGCGUGGGGAUCAAACAGG
rnacentral:rRNA from 1 species